GGGUUGUGAGGUUAAGCGACUAAGCGUACACGGUGGAUGCCCUGGCAGUCAGAGGCGAUGAAGGACGUGCUAAUCUGCGAUAAGCGUCGGUAAGGUGAUAUGAACCGUUAUAACCGGCGAUUUCCGAAUGGGGAAACCCAGUGUGUUUCGACACACUAUCAUUAACUGAAUCCAUAGGUUAAUGAGGCGAACCGGGGGAACUGAAACAUCUAAGUACCCCGAGGAAAAGAAAUCAACCGAGAUUCCCCCAGUAGCGGCGAGCGAACGGGGAGCAGCCCAGAGCCUGAAUCAGUGUGUGUGUUAGUGGAAGCGUCUGGAAAGGCGCGCGAUACAGGGUGACAGCCCCGUACACAAAAAUGCACAUGCUGUGAGCUCGAUGAGUAGGGCGGGACACGUGGUAUCCUGUCUGAAUAUGGGGGGACCAUCCUCCAAGGCUAAAUACUCCUGACUGACCGAUAGUGAACCAGUACCGUGAGGGAAAGGCGAAAAGAACCCCGGCGAGGGGAGUGAAAAAGAACCUGAAACCGUGUACGUACAAGCAGUGGGAGCACGCUUAGGCGUGUGACUGCGUACCUUUUGUAUAAUGGGUCAGCGACUUAUAUUCUGUAGCAAGGUUAACCGAAUAGGGGAGCCGAAGGGAAACCGAGUCUUAACUGGGCGUUAAGUUGCAGGGUAUAGACCCGAAACCCGGUGAUCUAGCCAUGGGCAGGUUGAAGGUUGGGUAACACUAACUGGAGGACCGAACCGACUAAUGUUGAAAAAUUAGCGGAUGACUUGUGGCUGGGGGUGAAAGGCCAAUCAAACCGGGAGAUAGCUGGUUCUCCCCGAAAGCUAUUUAGGUAGCGCCUCGUGAAUUCAUCUCCGGGGGUAGAGCACUGUUUCGGCAAGGGGGUCAUCCCGACUUACCAACCCGAUGCAAACUGCGAAUACCGGAGAAUGUUAUCACGGGAGACACACGGCGGGUGCUAACGUCCGUCGUGAAGAGGGAAACAACCCAGACCGCCAGCUAAGGUCCCAAAGUCAUGGUUAAGUGGGAAACGAUGUGGGAAGGCCCAGACAGCCAGGAUGUUGGCUUAGAAGCAGCCAUCAUUUAAAGAAAGCGUAAUAGCUCACUGGUCGAGUCGGCCUGCGCGGAAGAUGUAACGGGGCUAAACCAUGCACCGAAGCUGCGGCAGCGACACUAUGUGUUGUUGGGUAGGGGAGCGUUCUGUAAGCCUGUGAAGGUGUGCUGUGAGGCAUGCUGGAGGUAUCAGAAGUGCGAAUGCUGACAUAAGUAACGAUAAAGCGGGUGAAAAGCCCGCUCGCCGGAAGACCAAGGGUUCCUGUCCAACGUUAAUCGGGGCAGGGUGAGUCGACCCCUAAGGCGAGGCCGAAAGGCGUAGUCGAUGGGAAACAGGUUAAUAUUCCUGUACUUGGUGUUACUGCGAAGGGGGGACGGAGAAGGCUAUGUUGGCCGGGCGACGGUUGUCCCGGUUUAAGCGUGUAGGCUGGUUUUCCAGGCAAAUCCGGAAAAUCAAGGCUGAGGCGUGAUGACGAGGCACUACGGUGCUGAAGCAACAAAUGCCCUGCUUCCAGGAAAAGCCUCUAAGCAUCAGGUAACAUCAAAUCGUACCCCAAACCGACACAGGUGGUCAGGUAGAGAAUACCAAGGCGCUUGAGAGAACUCGGGUGAAGGAACUAGGCAAAAUGGUGCCGUAACUUCGGGAGAAGGCACGCUGAUAUGUAGGUGAAGCGACUUGCUCGUGGAGCUGAAAUCAGUCGAAGAUACCAGCUGGCUGCAACUGUUUAUUAAAAACACAGCACUGUGCAAACACGAAAGUGGACGUAUACGGUGUGACGCCUGCCCGGUGCCGGAAGGUUAAUUGAUGGGGUCAGCGCAAGCGAAGCUCUUGAUCGAAGCCCCGGUAAACGGCGGCCGUAACUAUAACGGUCCUAAGGUAGCGAAAUUCCUUGUCGGGUAAGUUCCGACCUGCACGAAUGGCGUAAUGAUGGCCAGGCUGUCUCCACCCGAGACUCAGUGAAAUUGAACUCGCUGUGAAGAUGCAGUGUACCCGCGGCAAGACGGAAAGACCCCGUGAACCUUUACUAUAGCUUGACACUGAACAUUGAGCCUUGAUGUGUAGGAUAGGUGGGAGGCUUUGAAGUGUGGACGCCAGUCUGCAUGGAGCCGACCUUGAAAUACCACCCUUUAAUGUUUGAUGUUCUAACGUUGACCCGUAAUCCGGGUUGCGGACAGUGUCUGGUGGGUAGUUUGACUGGGGCGGUCUCCUCCUAAAGAGUAACGGAGGAGCACGAAGGUUGGCUAAUCCUGGUCGGACAUCAGGAGGUUAGUGCAAUGGCAUAAGCCAGCUUGACUGCGAGCGUGACGGCGCGAGCAGGUGCGAAAGCAGGUCAUAGUGAUCCGGUGGUUCUGAAUGGAAGGGCCAUCGCUCAACGGAUAAAAGGUACUCCGGGGAUAACAGGCUGAUACCGCCCAAGAGUUCAUAUCGACGGCGGUGUUUGGCACCUCGAUGUCGGCUCAUCACAUCCUGGGGCUGAAGUAGGUCCCAAGGGUAUGGCUGUUCGCCAUUUAAAGUGGUACGCGAGCUGGGUUUAGAACGUCGUGAGACAGUUCGGUCCCUAUCUGCCGUGGGCGCUGGAGAACUGAGGGGGGCUGCUCCUAGUACGAGAGGACCGGAGUGGACGCAUCACUGGUGUUCGGGUUGUCAUGCCAAUGGCACUGCCCGGUAGCUAAAUGCGGAAGAGAUAAGUGCUGAAAGCAUCUAAGCACGAAACUUGCCCCGAGAUGAGUUCUCCCUGACUCCUUGAGAGUCCUGAAGGAACGUUGAAGACGACGACGUUGAUAGGCCGGGUGUGUAAGCGCAGCGAUGCGUUGAGCUAACCGGUACUAAUGAACCGUGAGGCUUAACCUUACAACGCCGAAGGUGUUU
rnacentral:rRNA from 1 species